CAGCCGCAUCCAGCCCUAGCUAUUCCGGUCUCACGCUCUCCAGAAGAUGCAGCGAUCCGGCGGCAGCCGUGGACACCGCAGUAGUCUUCUCCGAUGGUGCCGGCCCCCUCUCCCUGCAUCGAGCUUUCCCCGUCUCACGCUCUCCUGAAGAUCGAUGCAGCGAUCCGGCGGCAGCCGUGGACACCGCAGUCUUCUCGGAUCCGAUGGCGCCGGCCCUCUCCCUCUCCCUGCAUCAUGACCUGCUUGUGUAGUCUUCUCCAUCGUUCUCUGUGCGUUGAUGCAUCACCACCUGCUAACUCUAUCGUGCUCUACAUCCUUGGUGCUUCGACCAGUAACAGGAUGUGUUAACUCUGUUGGGGGAGUUCCACGCUUUGACAAAGACGUCACCGCUGCAUGCUGCUUGAACGUCCUCACACGCCAUCAGGAUCAGAUCAAUGACUCUGUAAGAUGUGCUUGGUACAAAGAACCUCUCAAUUGUGUUAUGUAUAUACGGGCAGAAAUCUACCUUUUAACCCUUCGGUGUCUCUGGUACAAGACCAUCGACUGCUGUCAGCUGACUAGGAUAUAAAGGCUUGCAGGCUGCAGCCCAACUACAACCACAGCCAUUAAUUUUUGAAUGAUCGAUCAGGCCGGCUUCAUUAGUACCUCACGCCAAAGAGCAAUAUUACCAAGAUCAGAUGUCCAAGGCUGGAAGCAUAUGUAAACAUAAGCGCUUGUGUUAUUCCAGAGAGUUUGUAGAUCGGGAGCUGCCUGAUCAUUGAAGACCAGCGAUAUAGCACACCCUAUCAGAAGCAUAAUGUUUACACAAAGGAGGCCGGAAAAAAAUGUUGUUCAAACAUAUCAACAUGGGAUCUAGUUUCGAAGAUCUAGUCGAGACAAAUCUAACCGUACAAACGGAUCAUAAAACAGAUUGUCACCAUUUGCCUCGAGUGUACGCGCGGGAUGAGAUUUGCGGGCACGGUCGCGCAUUAGCACACCCCUUUUGUAAAUAGCAUAAAAACUAUAUAUAGUAGUACUUCCUCCAUCCAACAAAAGAUUUUUCAAGUUUGUCAAAAUUUGGAUGU